UUUUUUUUUUUUUUUUUAAUAGCAAAUUGCUAGGACGACUGUGCUCAAAAAGCAUAGUUUGACACUCAAUUAAAUGUAUCCCUACAAUGCCUUCUAUCCUUCUGAAAUAUUUUUGUUAAUUCACAAUCUGGGUAUAGUUUCUUUAACUUUAUUGCAUGGUAUUUUAACUAGUGACUCAUGUCAUGAUAAGUACCUUUGAAAGUGAUUAUUUUCACAACUAUUUGACCUUCGUGGUCAUUGUUUUUCAAAGAGAGGCGUGUUUUUCCCAAGUGAGAGAGAAUCUUUAUCAUCCAGUAUAUUUCAGAGGGCCACUAAAUCUUUGCCAAUGGCAUUGAUUAACAGGAGAAGUACAUGGAUACUUUCUAUCAUGAAUAAAGAUAGAAAAUACUUAAUUACAGGGAAUUUCUAGGGAAAUGAUUUCCUCUGAUAUUUUAAUGUUUUGAUGGUGAUUGAAAAUGUGCUUGUUAAGUUUGAGUCUGAUGUUGGGUCUUCAUCAAUCACAUAGUAAGGUCUCAUCUUGGUUGUCAACUUGACACACGUGGAAAGAUGGAAUCUUAGCUGAAGAAUUGCCACCAUUAGAUUGAUCUACUUGCACGUUUGUGGGACACAUUCUUGACUGUAAUUUGAUAUGGGAGGGUUUGGCCUAGGACAGACAGUACAGUCGUUAAGAAAGUGGUCUGUGCUAUAAAAGAAAGCUAGCUGGUCCUAAAAUAAAGAUAGAGACCAAGCAACUAAGCAGUAUUCCUUCAUGGUUUGUCUCAAUUUAUGCUUGAGCACUUAUUUUAAUUUUCUCCAAUGAUGUAUUUUGGCUUAGAUAUGUAAGCCUAAUAAACCCUUACCUCCCUUCCCACUCUACCCCCCAAAAAGAAAAUGCGCUUCUUAACUUAAUGCCAAAUUGGGUAGAUGAAAAAAAAAAAGAAUCAAUCGGGAAAGACUUUUUUUUUUUUUUUUAUGAACAACGAAUUAAAAAAUCAGAUAAGAGGAUUUGUAACUCACUCUCAUAAUAAAAUUUUUUGAAAUAGUACUUUUGAACCGUGAUAAAACAUAUGUUGUUGUCCCUUAGGUGUGGGCCAUGAUUACCAGUGGAUCGGCCUCAAUGACAAGAUGUUUGAACAUGACUUCCGCUGGACUGACGGCAGUGCACUGGUAAGAUGCUGAUGGAAGUGAAACAUCAGUGCAUGAUGCACUAGUUUAUGUCAUAGUAAGCAAUGGGCGGGCUACGGUCCCUUCUUGACACAAGGAUGGAUUACAGAACUCUUUAGAACCACAUUGGCUAGUCAUCAGUGGCCUCUCUCAGAACUGUGGCACUCUUUAAGAAGACUAGAGAAGACUGUGUGGGAAGGGGAGGCAAUGAGAGUUGUGCUGGAUCGUGGUUAUCUUAGCCUUUUUAGUUUCAGAGCAUAAAGGAAAACAAUAAACAUAAGAGAGGCAAGACAGUCUUUUACAAGUACAUUUUUUUCUUUUUACACAAUCCCCAGGAAAUUCUACUAUAAAGCACGGCUCAUUUUU
rnacentral:lncRNA from 1 species